rnacentral:misc_RNA from 1 species
AUGCGAUAAGUAAUGUGAAUUGCAGAAUUCAGUGAAUCAUCGAAUCUUUGAACGCACCUUGCGCUCCUUGGUAUUCCGAGGAGCAUGCCUGUUUGAGUGUCAUUAAAUUCUCAACCUUACCAGUUUGUAACAGAGCUGUUGUGAGGCUUGGAUAUGGGGGCUUGCAGGUCCAAAAUACAAUUUUUGGUCUGCUCCUCUGAAAUAAAUAGAUUAGCAGGUCAAGCUCCUGUCUAUUGGUGUGAUAAUUAUCUACACCGUGGAUGCGAUGCAACUUUUGACCAGCUUCUAACUGUCUGCUUGACAGACAAUUUUUGACAACCUUGACCUCAAAUCAGGUAAGACUACCCGCUGAACUUAA